rnacentral:lncRNA from 1 species
GUAACAUGUCCUCCCCAUCCUACUUUAGUUUUUCCAUAAAUAAAUUAGGUAACUUGGCAUUUGACUGGACUAUUCUUUUUUAAGCAAUUUUAUUAAUUCAAGCAGAAGAUAUUAGGGAAAUAGAAGGCAAAGGAAAGCAAAGAAAAAAAUACGAGUUUGAAUGAGCUUUGGCGUUCAAUAACAAGGAAAAGGAAAUAAGCAUUUUUAAUUUGCAAAUCACAUAACCAGCCAAAGUAGGUGGUCCAAGAUUAAAGACAAAUGUGGACAAGGUUAGUCAAAGGAUUAAACUGAAUGUUU